rnacentral:rRNA from 1 species
UUGGUGAGGUAACGGCUCACCAAGGCGACGACGGGUAGCCGGCCUGAGAGGGCGACCGGCCACACUGGGACUGAGACACGGCCCAGACUCCUACGGGAGGCAGCAGUGGGGAAUAUUGCACAAUGGGCGAAAGCCUGAUGCAGCGACGCCGCGUGAGGGAUGACGGCCUUCGGGUUGUAAACCUCUUUCAGCAGGGAAGAAGCGAAAGUGACGGUACCUGCAGAAGAAGCGCCGGCUAACUACGUGCCAGCAGCCGCGGUAAUACGUAGGGCGCGAGCGUUGUCCGGAAUUAUUGGGCGUAAAGAGCUCGUAGGCGGUCUGUCGCGUCGGAUGUGAAAGCCCGGGGCUUAACCCCGGGUCUGCAUUCGAUACGGGCAGACUAGAGUGUGGUAGGGGAGAUCGGAAUUCCUGGUGUAGCGGUGAAAUGCGCANAUAUCAGGAGGAACACCGGUGGCGAAGGCGGAUCUCUGGGCCAUUACUGACGCUGAGGAGCGAAAGCGUG